rnacentral:rRNA from 1 species
UACAGGGGGUGCAAACGUUGCUCGGAAUCAUUGGGCGUAAAGCGCACGUAGGCGGUCUGUUAUGUCGGAUGUGAAAGCCCUUGGCUCAACUGAGGAAGUGCAUCCGAAACUGGCAGGCUAGAGUACUAAAGAGGGUCGCGGAAUUCCCGGUGUAGAGGUGAAAUUCGUAGAUAUCGGGAAGAACACCGGUGGCGAAGGCGGUCUGCUGGGCAGUUGCUGACACUGAGGCGCGACAGCGUGGGGGAGCAAACAGG